rnacentral:rRNA from 1 species
AGAGUUUGAUCCUGGCUCAGGAUGAACGCUGGCGGCGUGCUUAACACAUGCAAGUCGAGCGAAGCACUUAAGUGGAUCUCUUCGGAUUGAAACUUAUUUGACUGAGCGGCGGACGGGUGAGUAACGCGUGGGUAACCUGCCUCAUACAGGGGGAUAACAGUUAGAAAUGGCUGCUAAUACCGCAUAAGCGCACAGGACCGCAUGGUCUGGUGUGAAAAACUCCGGUGGUAUGAGAUGGACCCGCGUCUGAUUAGCUAGUUGGAGGGGUAACGGCCCACCAAGGCGACGAUCAGUAGCCGGCCUGAGAGGGUGAACGGCCACAUUGGGACUGAGACACGGCCCAGACUCCUACGGGAGGCAGCAGUGGGGAAUAUUGCACAAUGGGGGAAACCCUGAUGCAGCGACGCCGCGUGAAGGAAGAAGUAUCUCGGUAUGUAAACUUCUAUCAGCAGGGAAGAAAAUGACGGUACCUGACUAAGAAGCCCCGGCUAACUACGUGCCAGCAGCCGCGGUAAUACGUAGGGGGCAAGCGUUAUCCGGAUUUACUGAGUGUAAAGGGAGCGUAGACGGAAGAGCAAGUCUGAUGUGAAAGGCUGGGGCUUAACCCCAGGACUGCAUUGGAAACUGUUUUUCUAGAGUGCCGGAGAGGUAAGCGGAAUUCCUAGUGUAGCGGUGAAAUGCGUAGAUAUUAGGAGGAACACCAGUGGCGAAGGCGGCUUACUGGACGGUAACUGACGUUGAGGCUCGAAAGCGUGGGGAGCAAACAGGAAUAGAUACCCUGGUAGUCCACGCCGUAAACGA